CUGGGGAUAAAACCAACAGGGAUUGCCCCAGUAACGGCGAGUGAAGCGGCAAAAGCUCAAAUUUGAAAUCCUGCGGGAAUUGUAAUUUGAAGGUUUCGUGGUCUGAGUCGGCCGCGCCCAAGUCCAUUGGAACAUGGCGCCUGGGAGGGUGAGAGCCCCGUCUGGCGCACGCCGACUCUUUGCACCGCGGCUCCGACGAGUCGAGUUGUUUGGGAAUGCAGCUCUAAGUGGGUGGUAAAUUCCAUCUAAAGCUAAAUAUUGGCGGGAGACUGAUAGCGAACAAGUACAGUGAUGGAAAGAUGAAAAGCACUUUGAAAAGAGAGUGAAACAGCACGUGAAAUUGUUGAAAGGGAAGGGCUUGCAAGCAGACACGGUUUUACCGGGCCAGCGUCGAAAAGGGGGGAGGAACAAGAACUCGAGAAUGUGGCGCGCACCUUCGGGCGCGCGUGUUAUAGCUCGUGUUGACGCCUCCAUCCCUUUUCGAGGCCUGCGAUUCUAGGACGCUGGCGUAAUGGUUGCAAGCCGC
rnacentral:rRNA from 1 species